rnacentral:rRNA from 1 species
AACGAACGCUGGCGGCAUGCCUAACACAUGCAAGUCGAACGCUCACCGGGCUUUGGUCUGGUGGGAGUGGCGCACGGGUGAGUAGCGCGUGGGAACCUGCCCUGUUGUGGGGGAUAACCGAGGGAAACUUCGGCUAAUACCGCAUAUGCCCGGGGAUCCGGUCUUCGGAUUGGGUCUUUGGGGAAAGAUUUAUCGCAGCAGGAGGGGCCCGCGUCGGAUUAGCUGGUUGGUGGGGUAACGGCCCACCAAGGCGAUGAUCCGUAGCUGGUCUGAGAGGAUGAUCAGCCACACUGGGACUGAGACACGGCCCAGACUCCUACGGGAGGCAGCAGUGGGGAAUAUUGGACAAUGGGCGCAAGCCUGAUCCAGCAAUGCCGCGUGAGUGAUGAAGGCCUAGGGUUGUAAAGCUCUUUCGCCCGCGACGAUGAUGACGGU